AUGCGUUGCCUGGCUCCACGCCCUGCUGGGUCCUACCUGUCAGAGCCCCAAGGCAGCUCACAGUGUGCCAUCAUGGAGGUGGGGCCGCUAGAAGGCGGCUACCUGGAGCUCCUUAACAGCGAUGCUGACCCCUUGUGCCUCUACCACUUCUACGACCAGAUGGACCUGGCUGGAGAAGAAGAGAUUGAGCUCUACUCAGAACCCGACACAGACACCAUCAACUGUGACCAGUUCAGCAGGCUGUUGUGUGACAUAGAAGGCGAUGAAGAGACCAGGGAGGCUUAUGCCAAUAUCGCGGAACUGGACCAGUAUGUGUUCCAGGACUCCCAGCUGGAGGGCCUGAGCAAAGACAUUUUCAAGCACAUAGGACCGGAUGAAGUGAUUGGUGAGAGUAUGGAGAUGCCAGCAGAAGUUGGGCAGAAAAGUCAGAAAAGACCCUUCCCAGAGGAGCUUCCGGCAGACCUGAAGCACUGGAAGCCAGCUGAGCCCCCCACUGUGGUGACUGGCAGUCUCCUAGUGGGACCAGUGAGCAACUCCUCCACCCUGCCCUGCCUGCCAUUGUCUGCGCUGUUCAACCAGGAGCCAGCCUCCGGCCAGACGCACCUGGAGAAAACCGACCAGAUUCCCAUACCUUCCUCCAGUUCCUCGUUGAGCUGCCUGAAUCUCCCUGAGGGACCCAUCCAGUUUGUCCCCACCAUCUCCACUCUGCCCCAUGGGCUCUGGCAAAUCUCUGGGGCUGGAACAGAGGUCUCCAGUAUAUUCAUCUACCAUGGUGAGGUGCCCCAGGCCAGCCAAGUACCCCCUCCCAGUGGACUCACUGUCCACGGCCUCCCAACAUCUCCAGACCGGCCAGGCUCCACCAGCCCCUUUGCUCCAUCAGCCACUGACCUGCCCAGCAUGCCUGAACCUGCCCUGACCUCCCGAGCAAACAUGACAGAGCACAAGACGUCCCCCACCCAAUGCCAGGCAGCUGGAGAGGUCUCCAACAAGCUUCCAAAAUGGCCUGGACGAGAAGUUCCUCGGAAGACACAGCUGGGGAGCUCCCUGCUGUUCGGGACCUAA
rnacentral:sRNA from 1 species